UAUACCAGGUUUCUCUCUGCCUGUCAUCUCUAUUCAUACAGUAUACCAGGUUUCUCUCUGCCUGUCAUCUCUAUUCAUACAGUAUAUCAGGUUUCUCUCUGCCUGUCAUCUCUAUUCAUACAGUAUACCAGGUUUCUCUCUGGGAACUCCCCAGGUCCUCUGAACCAGGAUCCCUCAGUAGAGCGGAGCAGAGUGAGAGUAGACUGCAGCGCCCCGGGUUCUCUCUCCCUCCUCCUCUCCUCCUUCCAUCCCUCCAUCCUCACUGUCCCACCCGUGCCCUGAGCCCCACUAUCCUGCCAGCCUGUUGUCUGUGUCCAGUAGCAGGGAUGUUGUGCUGCAGUUAGCAGUGUUUGACCACCGGGGGUGCAGUUUGCAAACUUCAGCUCGUGCUCAGUGAACUGGCUGACCUCUAACUAUCCCCUGCUGUCCCUGCCCUCACACAUACACAUGGGCCUGGCAGACACACACACACCCAGCGGCCACAGCAAACUGCACGGUCAGGGUUUUCAUUCAUCGUUCAGCCUAGUGGAGACCCAGGCACAAUAGAGAUUGUGUGUGUGGUGUUUAGUAUGUGUUAUGGUUGUUGAUUAAAUGGUUUGUUAAAGGGAUGCUCYUUWCCACACAAGUYCCAGUUAUCAGGGAUUGUGUUGAGGGGAUUUCAAUAGAAUCAGAGAGGCCGUGUUGUCAGGCCCCUAACAUUUUCAGAAGUGGAUGCUGAUAGGCGGUGUGUGUACAUGCAGAGUUCUGAUUGGUUGUCUCUGUGUUGCAGGUCGUCAGGUGCUCCGCGCCCACGAUCUAACAGGGACAGUCACUGUCACUGUGGCCCUCACACCUGCACAGGACUCAUGGGCCACACCGCUGACUGCGUCUGUGCAUCUGAGACUGGUGGAGGACGUGCUGUGGGACAAACGUGCUAUAACCCUCCAUAACCACCCUGA